rnacentral:rRNA from 1 species
AUUGAACGCUGGCGGCAGGCCUAACACACGCAAGUCGAGCGGAUGAGUGGAGCUUGCUCCAUGAUUCAGCGGCGGACGGGUGAGUAAUGCCUAGGAAUCUGCCUGGUAGUGGGGGACAACGUUUCGAAAGGAACGCUAAUACCGCAUACGUCCUACGGGAGAAAGCAGGGGACCUUCGGGCCUUGCGCUAUCAGAUGAGCCUAGGUCGGAUUAGCUAGUAGGUGAGGUAAUGGCUCACCUAGGCGACGAUCCGUAACUGGUCUGAGAGGAUGAUCAGUCACACUGGAACUGAGACACGGUCCAGACUCCGACGGGAGGCAGCAGUGGGGAAUAUUGGACAAUGGGCGAAAGCCUGAGCCAGCCAUGCCGCGUGUGUGAAGAAGGUCUUCGGAUUGUAAAGCACUUUAAGUUGGGAGGAAGGGCAGCAAGUUAAUACCUUGCUGUUUUGACGUUACCAACAGAAUAAGCACCGGCUAACUUCGUGCCAGCCGCCGCCGUAAAAC